GAUUAUCUGUUUGAUUGUCUUACCCAUUGGAUAACCGUGGGAAAUCUAGAGCUAAUACAUGCAGUUUAUUGGCGUAGUCGCAAGAUUGCGUCAAAGCAUUUAUUAGACUUAACCAUCUACUGUACGCAAGUAUAGUAAGGCGAAUCUAGAUAACUUUGCUGAUCGUAUGGCCCUGUGCCGACGACGUUUCAAUUGAGUUUCUGCCCUAUCAAUUUGUUGGUAAGGUAUUGGCUUACCAAGGUUGCAACGGGUAACGGGGAAUCAGGGUUCGAUUCCGGAGAGGGAGCCUGAGAAACGGCUACCACAUCCAAGGAAGGCAGCAGGCGCGCAAAUUACCCAAUCUAGACAGUAGGAGGUGGUGAAGAGAAGUACUUAGUGGUGGCCUAAUGGUCCCAACUAGGAAUGAACGUAAUUUAAGCAAUUCGAUGAGUAACUACUGGAGGGCAAGUCCUGGUGCCAGCAGCCGCGGUAAUUCCAGCUCCAGUGGCGUGAUUUAAAGUUGCUGCGUUUAAAACGCUCGUAGUUGGAUCACGCAGUAGCAUACAGUUACACAGAUUGGUUUAUUUGACGAUUUUCUUUCAAAGAUUAUUGAAUUUUGGCUGGUCUGUGUGUUAACGCUGUAUGCUGCUAUUUGCACACAAGUAUGGUAUUUGGCCUUUAGUGAGUCGAGUAUCAUGUCUUGUGGGGUGUGCCUUGAAUAAAACAGAGUGCUCAAAGCAGGCGAACGCUUGAAUGUUAUAGCAUGGAACGAACAAACGUGUAUUUGCGUAUAUUUGAUAAGGUCGAGGGCAACUUUGACCUGUUGGAUAUAUGCAGCACCCGCCAAAAUACGGAUGUUGGUUUUCGUAUAAGGUGAUGAUUAACAGGAGCGGUUGGGGGCAUUGGUAUUUGGCCGCGAGAGGUGAAAUUCUUGGACCGGCCAAGGACUAACAGAUGCGAAGGCGUUUGUCUAGACCGUUUCCAUUAAUCAAGAACGAAAGUGGGAGGUUCGAAGACGAUCAGAUACCGUCCUAGUUCCCACUAUAAACUAUGCCGACCUGGGAUCAGUUUAGUGAUUAACAAGCACUAGGUUGGUCCCCCUGGGAAACCUAAAGUUUUUCGGUUACGGGGAGAGUAUGGUCGCAAGUCUGAAACUUAAAGGAAUUGACGGAAGGGCACCACCAGGGGUGGAGCCUGCGGCUUAAUUUGACUCAACACGGGGAAACUUACCUGGUCCGGACAUCGAAAGGAUAGACAGACUGAUAGAUCUUUCUUGAAGCGGUGAGUGGUGGUGCAUGGCCGUUCUUAGUUCGUGGAGUGAUCUGUCAGGUUUAUUCCGGUAACGAACGAGACCACUUUCUCCAUUUAAGAAACGGUAGCAGGGAGUUGGCUUGAAAUUGUUUCGGCAGUUUCGGGUUGAUUUUCGCAGAUAGAAUUGUUAAAUUCCAUGGAAGGGUGCUGAGGGGCAACCUGAGGUAUUUGACUGUGGAAGGAGAUGAUUUUUCCUAUCGUUAUGCAGUGUAAGGCAAAACCUUCACGCUGUCUUAUGGAGAGACAACAGGUUUAUAAAAGCCUGAGGAAGUGUGGCUAUAACAGG
rnacentral:rRNA from 1 species